rnacentral:tmRNA from 1 species
GGAGUUUCAAGGGCCUGAUGUGCGCCUGGAACGCCUCGAAAAUCCAAGCAUAGAUACACACGUAGAAAGCACGUUGGCUUCCUUGUCUGGACCAGGGUUCGAAUCCCUGCAUCUCCACUU